rnacentral:rRNA from 1 species
GAAACAGUUGCUAAGACAGGAUAGGAAAUUAAGAGGCAUCUUUUAAUUUUUAAAAGACCUUUUUCGAAAGGUAUACUUAAAGAGGGGCUUGCGCCACAUUAGUUAGUUGGUAAGGUAAAGGCUUACCAAGACGAUGAUGUGUAGCUGGACUGAGAGGUCGAACAGCCAUAUUGGGACUGAGACACGGCCCAAACUCCUACGGGAGGCAGCAGUAAGGAAUUUUUGGCAAUGGAGGAAACUCUGACCGAGCGACGUCGCGUGAACAAUGAAGUACUUCGGUAUGUAAAGUUCUUUUAUUGAAAAAGAAAAAAUAGUGGAAAAACUAUCUUGACAUUAUUCAAUGAAUAAGCCCCGGCUAAUUAUGUGCCAGCAGCCGCGGUAAUACAUAAGGGGCGAGCGUUAUCCGGAAUUAUUGGGCGUAAAGGGUGCGUAGGCGGUUUGAUAAGUCUAUAGUUUAAAUGCAGUGCUUAACGCUGUAGCGCUAUAGAAACUGUCUGACUAGAGUUAGAUAGAGGCAAGCGGAAAUUCCAUGUGUAGCGGUAAAAUGCGUAAAUAUAUGGAGGAACACCAGAGGCGUAGGCGGCUUGCUGGGUCUUAACUGACGCUGAGGCACGAAAGCGUGGGGAGCAAACAGGAUUAGAUACCCUGGUAGUCCACGCCGUAAACGAUGAGUACUAAGUGUCGGGUUUCGGCUCGGUACUGAAGUUAACACAUUAAGUACUCCGCCUGAGUAGUACGUACGCAAGUAUGAAACUUAAAGGAAUUGACGGGACCCCGCACAAGCGGUGGAUCAUGUUGUUUAAUUCGAAGAUACACGAAAAACCUUACCAGGUCUUGACAUAAUUUUGCGACAUUAUGGAAAUAUAAUGAAGGUUAUCAGAAUUACAGGUGGUGCAUGGUUGUCGUCAGCUCGUGUCGUGAGAUGUUAGGUUAAGUCCUAAAACGAGCGCAACCCUUGUCGUUAGUUGCGACCACGUAAUGGUGAGCACUUUAGCGAGACUGCCAAUGAAAAAUUGGAGGAAGGUGAGGAUUACGUCAAAUCAUCAUGCCCCUUAUGAUCUGGGCUACAAACGUGAUACAAUGGCUGUUACAAAGAGUAGCUACAACGUGAGUUUUUAGCCAAUCUCAAAAAAACAGUCUCAGUUCGGAUUGAAGUCUGCAACUCGACUUCAUGAAGUUGGAAUCGCUAGUAAUCGCGAAUCAGCAUGUCGCGGUGAAUACGUUCUCGGGGUUUGUACACACCGCCCGUCA